UGGGUAACCCACCCCGAUGACCGGGACAACCCGAGGAAACUCGGGCUAAUACCGGAUGAGCUCCUCCCCCCUUGAGGGAGAGGAGGAAAGAUAGCUUCGGCCUUCGCAUCGGGACGGGCCCGCGGCGCAUUAGCUUGUUGGUGGGGUAAAGGCCUACCAAGGCGACGAUGCGUAGCUGGUCUGAGAGGACGAUCAGCCACACUGGGACUGAGACACGGCCCAGACUCCUACGGGAGGCAG
rnacentral:rRNA from 1 species